CUCCCACGAGACCGGAGCCAAAGGCCCAGCAGGUUCCCACCAGGCCGGAACCAAAGCCCAGCAGACUUGCACGAGACCGAAGUCAAGGGCGCUCUGGGAGGCUUCCCCGUCCUGCUUGGUAUGUGCUCGCUCGAAUAAACGCUUGAUUGCAAGCAUCCAUUCUCUGGACUCACGAGGAGGCAGCUUCCCUUGCUCAAGAAACAGCACCAUUACCACCUGGAGGCUGGAUGUUGGGGUCCCAGCUUUAGCAGCAGCUCCUCAUUGGAAAGACUCUCCCAGCUCCCUGCUUGUGGCCUGG